rnacentral:rRNA from 1 species
UACGUAGGGACCAAGCGUUGUCCGGAAUCAUUGGGCGUAAAGAGCGUGUAGGCGGCUUGUUAAGUCUUGCGUGAAAUCUCGGGGCUCAACCCCGAGCGGUCGUGAGAAACUGGCAGGCUAGAGUGCGGGAGAGGAGAGUGGAAUUCCUGGUGUAGCGGUGAAAUGCGCAGAUAUCAGGAAGAACACCCGUGGCGAAGGCGGGUCUCUGGACAGUUCCUGACGCUGAGGCACGAAGGUCAGGGGAGCAAACGGG